rnacentral:rRNA from 1 species
GAAUAUUGGACAAUGGGGGGAACCCUGAUCCAGCCAUGCCGCGUGUGUGAAGAAGGCCUUUUGGUUGUAAAGCACUUUAAGCGAGGAGGAGGCUACUGUAGUUAAUACCUAGGGAUAGUGGACGUUACUCGCCGAAUAGGACCCGGCUAACUCUGUGCCAGCAGCCGCGGUGAUACAGAGGGUGCAAGCGUUAAUCGGAUUUACUGGGCGUAAAGCGCGCGUAGGUGGCCAAUUAAGUCAAAUGUGAAAUCCCCGAGCUUAACUUGGGAAUUGCAUUCGAUACUGGUUGGCUAGAGUAGGGGAGAGGAUGGUAGAAUUCCAGGUGUAGCGGUGAAAUGCGUAGAGAUCUGGAGGAAUACCGAUGGCGAAGGCAGGCAUCUGGCCUAAUACUGACACUGAGGUGCGAAAGCAUGGGGAGCAAACA